rnacentral:misc_RNA from 1 species
UUUCCGUAGGUGAACCUGCGGAAGGAUCAUUACAGAGUUCAUGCCCUCACGGGUAGAUCUCCCACCCUUGAAUAUUUAUACCUAGUUGCUUUGGCAGGCCGUGGAAACACCAUGGGCUCCGGCUUAUGCGUGCCUGCCAGAGGAAACAAACUCUGUUUUUAGUGAUGUCUGAGUACUAUAUAAUAGUUAAAACUUUCAACAACGGAUCUCUUGGUUCUG